rnacentral:rRNA from 1 species
UACGUAGGGGGCAAGCGUUGUCCGGAUUUAUUGGGCGUAAAGAGCGUGUAGGCGGUUUGGUAGGUCCGCUGUGAAACUCGAGGCUCAACCUCGAGACGCCGGUGGAAACCAUCAGACUAGAGUCCGGAAGAGGAGAGUGGAAUUCCUGGUGUAGCGGUGAAAUGCGCAGAUAUCAGGAAGAACACCCGCGGCUAAGGCGGCUCUCUGGGACGGUACUGACGCUGAGACGCGAAAGCGUGGGGAGCGAACAGG